rnacentral:rRNA from 1 species
UGGGGAAUAUUGCGCAAUGGGCGAAAGCCUGACGCAGCAACGCCGCGUGAGUGAUGAAGGCCUUCGGGUCGUAAAGCUCUGUCGGAGGGAACGAAUGCUCCUGAAGUUAACAGCCUCAGGAGGUGACGGUACCCUCAAAGGAAGCACCGGCUAACUCUGUGCCAGCAGCCGCGGUAAUACAGAGGGUGCAAGCGUUGUUCGGAUUUACUGGGCGUAAAGGGCGCGUAGGCGGCAUGACAAGUCACUUGUGAAAUCUCUGGGCUUAACCCAGAACGGCCAAGUGAUACUGUCGCGCUAGAGUGCAGAAGGGGCAAUCGGAAUUCUUGGUGUAGCGGUGAAAUGCGUAGAUAUCAAGAGGAACACCUGAGGUGAAGACGGGUUGCUGGGCUGACACUGACGCUGAGGCGCGAAAGCCAGGGGAGCAAACGGGAUUAGAUACCCCUGUAGUCCCUGAGCGGGCUGGCAAGGCGCAU